GACGAACGCUGGCGGCGUGCUUAACACAUGCAAGUCGAACGCUGAAGCUCAGCUUUUGUUGGGUGGAUGAGUGGCGAACGGGUGAGUAACACGUGAGUAACCUGCCCCCUUCUUUGGGAUAACGCCCGGAAACGGGUGCUAAUACUGGAUAUUCACUGGUCUUCGCAUGGGGGUUGGUGGAAAGGGUUUUUCUGGUGGGGGAUGGGCUCGCGGCCUAUCAGCUUGUUGGUGGGGUGAUGGCCUACCAAGGCUUUGACGGGUAGCCGGCCUGAGAGGGUGACCGGUCACAUUGGGACUGAGAUACGGCCCAGACUCCUACGGGAGGCAGCAGUGGGGAAAAUUGCACAAUGGGCGCAAGCCUGAUGCAGCGACGCCGCGUGAGGGAUGGAGGCCUUCGGGUUGUGAACCUCUUUCGCUCAUGGUCAAGCCGCAACAAUGGUUGUGGUGAGGGUAGUGGGUAAAGAAGCGCCGGCUAACUACGUG
rnacentral:rRNA from 1 species